GACGAACCGAGCGAACGUUGUUCGGAAUAACUGGGCUUAAAGGGCGCGUAGGCGGGCUGUCAAGUUUGGGGUGAAAUGCCACGGCUCAACCGUGGAACUGCCUCAAAUACUGACGGUCUCGAGGGAGGUAGGGGCGAGCGGAACAGACGGUGGAGCGGUGAAAUGCGUAGAUAUCGUCUGGAACGCCGAAGGUGAAAACAGCUCGCUGGGGCUGCGCUGACGCUGAGACACGAAAGCCAGGGGAGCGAACGGG
rnacentral:rRNA from 1 species